rnacentral:rRNA from 1 species
CCUACGGGGGGCUGCAGUGGGGAAUAUUGGACAAUGGGGGGAACCCUGAUCCAGCCAUGCCGCGUGUGUGAAGAAGGCCCUCGGGUUGUAAAGCACUUUCAGUGAGGAAGAACGCCUGGUGGUUAAUACCCAUCAGGAAAGACAUCACUCACAGAAGAAGCACCGGCUAACUCCGUGCCUGCAGCCGCGGUAAUACGGAGGGUGCGAGCGUUAAUCGGAAUUACUGGGCGUAAAGCGCGCGUAGGUGGCUUGAUAAGCCGGUUGUGAAAGCCCCGGGCUCAACCUGGGAACGGCAUCCGGAACUGUCAAGCUAGAGUGCAGGAGAGGAAGGUAGAAUUCCCGGUGUAGCGGUGAAAUGCGUAGAGAUCGGGAGGAAUACCAGUGGCGAAGGCGGCCUUCUGGACUGACACUGACACUGAGGUGCGAAAGCGUGGGUAGCAAACAGGAUUAGAUACCCUGGUAGUC